rnacentral:rRNA from 1 species
UGGGGAAUAUUGCACAAUGGGCGCAAGCCUGAUGCAGCCAUGCCGCGUGUAUGAAGAAGGCCUUCGGGUUGUAAAGUACUUUCAGCGGGGAGGAAGGGAGUAAAGUUAAUACCUUUACUCAUUGACGUUACCCGCAGAAGAAGCACCGGCUAACUCCGUGCCAGCAGCCGCGGUAAUACGGAGGGUGCAAGCGUUAAUCGGAAUUACUGGGCGUAAAGCGCACGCAGGCGGUUUGUUAAGUCAGAUGUGAAAUCCCCGGGCUCAACCUGGGAACUGCAUCUGAUACUGGCAAGCUUGAGUCUCGUAGAGGGGGGUAGAAUUCAAGGUGUAGCGGUGAAAUGCGUAGAGAUCUGGAGGAAUACCGGUGGCGAAGGCGGCCCCCUGGACGAAGACUGACGCUCAGGUGCGAAAGCGUGGGGAGCAAACAGG